rnacentral:lncRNA from 1 species
CUUUAUUGAGUAAUUAAUUCAUAACUAGCAUUUAAAUAGGAUACAUAAUACCAAUAACAAUUCAUAGGUUAUUUUUAUUUGUUUCUUUCAUAAUUAUCAUUACCAUCCUUUUAGCAACAACCUGGUCGGCAACAACAAUGCUUUCCCGGACCAGCAGCUGGACUUUCAACACAUUUGAAAAUAUGAAAAAUUGGACAUACUCCUUUAUGACAGUCCUUAGCAGUAGUGCAUGAAUUAUAGCACAAAUCGCCAUCCUUUUUUCCUGCUCCAACAUAUGACAAAAGAAUGACAACUUUAUUAGUACUCACUUUUUCCCACAAAAAUUGUCACAUUUAGAAAAUAUAUGAAUUUUAAAUAUACAUUUUUUUUCCAUAUUUUAUACUAUCAUAAAAAUAAAAUUGAACUCAUUUUCUGAAUUAUUCUUUUUGGUAAUAUAACUUUAGAAAACUGAUAUUUUUCAAAUCAAAAAAUAAUAGUUUCACACGAGUCUCUCUCUCAUUAAUGUAGAACUCACAUAUAAUUCAUGUUAGAUGGAUCAUGUGAAAAUAUCAAUUUUUCAUAUAAAAAUAUCAAUUCCUUAACUAUAUUGUGGAGUGAACAGAGUAUUUAGUAUGAUCAAAUCUCAUAUACAUACUACCUAAAUUUAUUGAGUGUAUUGUUCAGUGUCGAUGGCAUAAUAUCAUGUGAUUUUUUAAGGUUUAUUGGGCUACCAGCGGUUAGUGUGUUUGGAGCAAUAGUGUUUGGAACAUUUAGAAGUCCAAAUGCUCCGCACCAAUUGCAUUGCGUUUAUAAGUUAAAUAAAUUAUGCUUAAAAUAAAUUAUUGUUUGAUGAAUGAAAUGUUUAAAUAUGUUUGGUGCGUUGAGAACUCCUAAAUGCACUAAAUGCUCCAACUACCACUUAGCGAACAAGAACAUAGUAGUAAUACUAUAAAAAGUUAAACUUUUUUUAAAAUAACAAAUUGAAAAGUGGAACUUUUUUUUAGACGAAAAGAGCAUGUGAUCAAUCUCAUAUACUAUUACACAUAUAAAAAUGGAUAAAGAAAGAAAGCCCUAACCAGUUCUUAUUGAUUGAGCAGAGAGCACAAGUGCAAGUAGAACAAGAGUAAACAUCCUAAGCUUUGGUGAUGCCAUCUUGGUGUUUAUACGUACAGUAUAUC